CGAGUUUGAUCAUGGCUCAGGAUGAACGCUGGCGGUAUGCCUUACACAUGCAAGUCGUACGAGAGUUUUUAACUCAAGUGGCGGACGGGUGAGUAACACGUGAGUAUUUACCUUUAGGAGGGGGACAACAGUUGGAAACGACUGCUAAUACCCCAUAUGCUUUAGAGUGAAAUGGAUUUAUCCGCCUAAAGAAAAGCUCGCGGCUGAUUAGCUUGUUGGUGAGGUAAUGGCUCACCAAGGCGACGAUCAGUAUCUGGUUUGAGAGGACGAUCAGACACACUGGAACUGAGACACGGUCCAGGGAACUCUAGAAAGACUGCUGGUUAUAAACCGGAGGAAGGCGGGGAUGACGUCAAGUCAGCAUGCCCCUUACACCCUGGGCUACACACGUGCUACAUUGGGCGAGACAAUGAGAUGCAACUCUGCGAAGAUUAGCUAAUCUAUAAACUCGUUCUAAGUUCGGAUUGCAGGCUGCAACUCGCCUGCAUGAAGGUGGAAUCGCUAGUAAUCGCUGGUCAGCUACACAGCGGUGAAUCCGUUCCCGGGCCUUGUACACACCGCCCGUCACACCAUGGAAGCUGGUUAUACCCGAAGUCGUUACUCUAACCGUUUGGAGGAGGAUGCCUAAGGUAGAAUUAGUGACUGGGGUGAAGUCGUAACAAGGUAACCGUACUGGAAGGUGUGGUUGGAUCACCUCCUU
rnacentral:rRNA from 1 species